GUGCUCGCUUUGCCAGCACAUGUACUAAAAUUGGAAUGAUACAGAGAAGAUUAGAAUGGCCCCUGUGCAAGGAUAACACGCAAAUUUGUGAAGCGUUCCAUAUUUUU
ensembl:snRNA U6 U6 spliceosomal RNA